CACAAGCUGUUUCAGCCCCAGCUGUUGCAAGCAGGAUGAGCAAGCCAGAAUAUUCACCUGGCCAUCCACUCCAGUAGUGACAAGAAUUCCCGUCUUCUUCCCUUUCACUCUGCACUGGGAAGUAUGAGAAGAUGAUCAGAAGAGGAGCAGAAAGUACUCCAUUAUCCAGCACCAACCAUCUGAAGACUUUGGUGUCAGGCCCCUCUUCUGUAAGGCUGCUGCUGUUGGCUGGGGUUCCAUUCCAGGCCCUAUUUGCCUGGUCCUUCCCGCACUUGAAGGUGUCACGCAUGGAGGCUGCAGAACAGCACAGAUGGCUGCCUGCUCCUUCCUCUGGGAUCUCUGUCCACACAGAGCACUGACCUGAUGCCAGUGGAAACACUACUGUGUAAGGUUGUACAGAUCUAUGGAAAAGCCAAGCUGCCCUGACAGGGUAGCACAACCUCUCACUGCCUCCCUUGGCUGCCAGUAGGAGCUCCCCUUUCCCUCUGUGGAUCUCAGGCAAAAGAAGAUAAUGCUCUUUCUGGUGACCAAUCACUCAGUUGGAUAACUUGAGUUGACAUAUGGAUACCAUGCCAGAAAAGGACUCUAACUUCAGAAAUCAAAACCAACUGGGACUAUUAGGUGAUGUAACAGCAGUAACUGAGUCUCCUUAAUGACCAAGUAGGGACUGGGAG